rnacentral:rRNA from 1 species
GUGCCAGCAGCCGCGGUAAUACGUAGGUCCCGAGCGUUGUCCGGAUUUAUUGGGCGUAAAGCGAGCGCAGGCGGUUAGAUAAGUCUGAAGUUAAAGGCUGUGGCUUAACCAUAGUACGCUUUGGAAACUGUUUAACUUGAGUGCAAGAGGGGAGAGUGGAAUUCCAUGUGUAGCGGUGAAAUGCGUAGAUAUAUGGAGGAACACCGGUGGCGAAAGCGGCUCUCUGGCUUGUAACUGACGCUGAGGCUCGAAAGCGUGGGAAGCAAACA